rnacentral:rRNA from 1 species
CUCGAGUGGCGAACGGGUGAGUAACACGUGGGUGAUCUGCCCCUAACUUUGGGAUAAGCCUGGGAAACUGGGUCUAAUACCGGAUAUGACCUUUCAUCGCAUGGUGUUUGGUGGAAAGCUUUGCGGUUAGGGAUGGGCCCGCGGCCUAUCAGCUUGUUGGUGGGGUAAUGGCCUACCAAGGCGACGACGGGUAGCCGACCUGAGAGGGUGAUCGGCCACACUGGGACUGAGACACGGCCCAG